rnacentral:tRNA from 1 species
UAGCUCAGUUGGUAGAGUAUGGUGUUUGCAACGCCAGGGUUGUGGGUUUGAUUCCCAC